CACUCCAGGGAAAGUGGGCAACUCAGGCGAGACGCGAAGGGUGCGAUUCACCCUCUUCUUGAAAUGUCAACAUCAGCUCUUCUAGGAAACAGGCGCUGAUAAACCACACUCAAUUAGGGGCGACAGGACUUCUCUCGCUGUCUUCUUUCUCCUGCAGGAUGUGAACACAGCCGUUUCUAGUUGUGUUUCCUUCAGCUCUUCGGAUCAAAAGAAUCUAAUGAGCAAUGAAUGAAUACAAGCAAACAGACUGAGAUGAUGCCAUGUUUAAGCUGCUGUUUAAAAUAAGAACUAAUUGUGUUAAAAAAAUGUAAUGUAAAAUGAGAAGUCAAGGCAAUUUGUUUCCCUGAAGAAGAAUGACAGCACCGGCAGUUAGAAUAGCAGUUUCGCCUCUUCCCUGGCUCCAAUUACAAGCAUUUCUCAGUACCUCCAUGGUGAGCCUACUCAGCCCUUUGGAAUCAGCAUCAUCUUCCGAAAUCAUAUCACACCCUAAUAGAAAUAUCUUUGAUAACUUCUCACUGUCUAAGGAAAAGUUUCAAACUCUUUAGCAUGACAUCUAAAUGCCAUUUUCCUCUAGUUUUAAACUUCCUUUCCCAUGUUUUUGCCAUGCCGGGCAUUCCUCAUUGCUCAUCUGUACUUCAAUUGUCACGCAUGUCCCUACCGUCAGACAUAUGUCCAUGCUGUCUCUCUGGCCUGCACUGCUUAGCUUCUCUCCCUCUGGAAUGGGGAAGAGCUGUCUUCCAUGGUCUUUAAAACACGCCAAAGCCCAUGGACCAUUUCUGCCUUUGUUCCUAUAGCACCUCCUCCCUACUGCAAUUCCUACCUAAAUUUUGGUUCAUUCUGGUGACUUGGGUAUGAUCUAGCCCCCCUCCCUGCCCAGUCAG